GGUGUCUCUAGCUUAUCUGGUAAAGCACCCCGCUGUGAACGGGAAGAACAGGGUUCGAGCCCCGGAGUACACCC
rnacentral:tRNA from 1 species